rnacentral:rRNA from 1 species
GAUGAACGCUGGCGGCGUGCCUAAUACAUGCCAGUCGAGCGAACAGACGAGAAGCUUGCUUCUCUGAUGUUAGCGGCGGACGGGUGAGUAACACGUGGAUAACCUACCUAUAAGACUGGGAUAACUUCGGGAAACCGGAGCUAAUACCGGAUGAUAUAUUGAACCGCAUGGUUCAAUAGUGAAAGACGGUUUUGCUGUCACUUAUAGAUGGAUCCGCGCUGCAUUAGCUAGUUGGUAAGGUAACGGCUUACCAAGGCAACGAUGCAUAGCCGACCUGAGAGGGUGAUCGGCCACACUGGAACUGAGACACGGUCCAGACUCCUACGGGAGGCAGCAGUAGGGAAUCUUCCGCAAUGGGCGAAAGCCUGACGGAGCAACGCCGCGUGAGUGAUGAAGGUCUUCGGAUCGUAAAACUCUGUUAUUAGGGAAGAACAUAUGUGUAAGUAACUGUGCACAUCUUGACGGUACCUAAUCAGAAAGCCACGGCUAACUACGUG